rnacentral:rRNA from 1 species
GCCUACGGCCAUACCACCCUGAGAACGCCCGAUCUCGUCUGAUCUCGGAAGCUAAGCAGGGUCGGGCCCGGUUAGUACUUGGAUGGGAGACCGCCUGGGAAUACCGGGUGCUGUAGCUU